rnacentral:lncRNA from 1 species
UGGAGUGCAAUGGCGUGAUCUCGGCUCACUGCAACCUCUGCUUCCCAGGUUCCAGCGAUUCUCCUGCCUCAGCCUCCCAAGUAGCUGGGAUUAUAGGCCCCUGCCACCACGCCCAGCUAAUUUUUGUAUUUUUAGUAGAGAGGUGGUUUUUGCCAUGUUGGCCAGGCUGGUCUGGAACUCCUGACCUCAAGUGAUCUGUUCACCUCAGCCUCCCAAAGUGCUGGGAUUACAGGCGUGAGCCGCCGCACCCAGCCUUCCUGCUGGUUCUUUAUCAUCAACUCCAAUCCCACUGUUAUUUCACACAAGAAAGAAAAAAACAAAAAGCUCACUCUUUACUCUGCCCCUCUGGGCACCAACUUAUUUCUUUUCCCUGUAGGCUUUUUUUUUUCCUUGGAACUCCUUGAAAGUACUGGCUGGGCUGGGCACAGUGGCUCACGCCUGUAAUCCCAGCACUUUGGGAGGUGGAGGCGGGUGGAUCACCUGAGGUCGGGAGUUCG